rnacentral:rRNA from 1 species
CUAAUACCGCAUACGCCCUGAGGGGGAAAGCGGGGGAUUCUUCGGAACCUCGCGCAAUUGGAGCGGCCGAUGUCAGAUUAGCUAGUUGGUAGGGUAAAGGCCUACCAAGGCGACGAUCUGUAGCGGGUCUGAGAGGAUGAUCCGCCACACUGGGACUGAGACACGGCCCAGACUCCUA